GAAUCUUCCACAAUGGGCGCAAGCCUGAUGGAGCAACACCGCGUGAGUGAAGAAGGGUUUCGGCUCGUAAAGCUAUGUUGUUGGAGAAGAACGUGCGUGAGAGUAACUGUUCACGCAGGNAAGGGAUCCAAACAGAAAGGAAAGGCGAAAUACGGUCCAGAAGACGCGGUAAUACGUAGGUGGCAAGCGUUAUCCGGAUUUAUUGGGCGUAAAGCGAGCGCAGGCGGUCGCUUAGGUCUGAUGUGAAAGCCUUCGGCUUAACCGAAGAAGUGCAUCGGAAACCGGGCGACUUGAGUGCAGAAGAGGACAGUGGAACUCCAUGUGUAGCGGUGGAAUGCGUAGAUAUAUGGAAGAACACCAGUGGCGAAGGCGGCUGUCUGGUCUGCAACUGACGCUGAGGCUCGAAAGCAUGGGUAGCGAACAGG
rnacentral:rRNA from 1 species